CAGCAGCCGCCGCGGGAAUACAGAGGGUGCGAGCGUUAAUCGGAUUUACUGGGCGUAAAGCGUGCGUAGGCGGCUUCUUAAGUCGGAUGUGAAAUCCCUGAGCUUAACUUAGGAAUUGCAUUCGAUACUGGGAAGCUAGAGUAUGGGAGAGGAUGGUAGAAUUCCAGGUGUAGCGGUGAAAUGCGUAGAGAUCUGGAGGAAUACCGAUGUCGAAGGCAGCCAUCUGGCCUAAUACUGACGCUGAGGUACGAAAGCAUGGGGAGCAAACAGGAUUAGAUACCCGUGUAGUCCCUGUCUCUUAUAA
rnacentral:rRNA from 1 species